rnacentral:rRNA from 1 species
UACGUAGGGUGCGGGCGUUAAUCGGAAUUACUGGGCGUAAAGCGUGCGCAGGCGGUAAUGUAAGACAGAGGUGAAAUCCCCGGGCUUAACCUGGGAACUGCCUUUGUGACUGCAUUGCUGGAGUACGGUAGAGGGGGGUGGAAUUCCGCGUGUAGCAGUGAAAUGCGUAGAUAUGCGGAGGAACACCGAUGGCGAAGGCAGCCCCCUGGACCUGUACUGACGCUCAUGCACGAAAGCAUGGGGAGCAAACAGG